UAAUACGUAGGGGGCAAGCGUUGUCCGGAUUUACUGGGCGUAAAGAGCUCGUAGGCGGUUUGUUGCGUCUAUCGUGAAAACCUGCGGCUUAACUGUGGGCUUGCGGUGGAUACGGGCAGACUUGAGUUCGGUAGGGGGACUGGAAUUCCUGGUGUAGCGGUGAAAUGCGCAGAUAUCAGGAGGAACACCGGUGGCGAAGGCGGGUCUCUGGGCCGAUACUGACGCUGAGGAGCGAAAGCGUGGGGAGCGAACAGG
rnacentral:rRNA from 1 species